AAAUGAAUAGACGGGCCCUCGCACAAGCGGUGGAGCACGCGCCUUAAUUCGAGGCAACGCGAGGAACCUUACCAGGGCUUGACAUGCAAGUGGUACGGACCCGAAAGGGCGAGGACCCAGGUUUCCUGGGAGCUUGCACAGGUGCUGCAUGGCUGUCGUCAGCUCGUGUCGUGAGAUGUUGGGUUAAGUCCUAUAACGAGCGAAACCCCUGUCCAUAGUUGCUAACGGGUCAUGCCGAGGACUCUAUGGAGACCGCCGGCGUCAAACCGGAGGAAGGCGGGGAUGACGUCAAGUCCUCAUGGCCCUUAUGUCCUGGGCUGGACGCAUGCUACAAUGGCCGGUACAAAGGGAAGCGAAGCCGCAAGGUGAAGCGAAGCUCUAAAAACCGGUCCCAGUACGGAUCGGGGGCUGCAAUUCGCCCCCGUGAAUGUAGGAAUCGCUAGUAAUCGCGGAUCAGCCACGCCGCGGUGAAUAUGUGCCCGAGGGUUGUACACACCGCCCGU
rnacentral:rRNA from 1 species